AUUGAACGCUGGCGGAGUGCUUUACACAUGCAAGUCGAACGGUAGAGGGGGCAACCCCUCGAGAGUGGCGAACGGGCGAGUAAUAUAUCGGAACGUGCCCAGUCGUGGGGGAUAACGUAGCGAAAGUUACGCUAAUACCGCAUACGAUCUAACGAUGGAAGCGGGGGAUCGCAAGACCUCGCGCGAUUGGAGCGGCCGAAAUCAGAGUAGGUAGGUGGUGGGGUAAAGGCUCACCAAGCCAACGAUCUGUAGCUGGUCUGAGAGUACGACCAGCCACACUGGAACUGAGACACGGUCCAGACUCCUACGGGAGGCAGCAGUGGGGAAUUUUGGACAAUGGACGCAAGUCUGAUCCAGCCAUUCCGCGUGCAGGAUGAAGGCCCUCGGGUUGUAAACUGCUUUUGUACGGAACGAAAAGGUCUCUCUGAAUACGGGAGGCUCAUGACGGUACCGUAAGAAUAAGCACCGGCUAACUACGUGCCAGCCGCCGCCGUAA
rnacentral:rRNA from 1 species